GGUUAGGGGCAACCACACUGUCAUUGAGUGUGGAUGGAUGGAAAAUCUGCUGCUGCUGUUGAUGCUGUUGUAUUUGUGGUGGUGGUUGUCGUAUUUGUGGUGGCUGCAGCUGCAGCUGUUGCUGUGGCCAAUGCUGAUGCUGUUGAUGUUGUUGCUGCUGCUGCUGCUGCUGCUGUUGCUGUUGGGAAAUAGGCUGCUGCUGCUGCUGCUGUUGGGGAUAAGGUGGCUGCUGUUGGUUAAUAGGAGUCUGCAAUAAUUGUUGCAGCUGCUGUUGUUGAGUCCAUGCCAUUGGUGGCUGAGGCAACUGACCGACUUGGUUUUGUGGAUUUGU
rnacentral:lncRNA from 1 species